GACCAGAUGAACAGGGACACAGCCACUUCUCUGCAGAGACCGCCUGGGCUGAUGACAACCGCAGACCAGAGGCCCCUCCCUGCCCCCCAAGAUGGAACAUGAGGUGUCCCCCUCCCUGCAUUUAGGGCAGGUCAGGGAUACAGGAAGGAGAAGGGGCCACAGGCAGCUUUUGAACUGACUACCGAAUAAUGCUAAAAAGCAUUCUGGAAGCCACUCACUUCUUAGGAGAUGACAAAAGUUAGUUUCCUCCUCUGGAUGUGGAAGCUUGAAAAUGAAUGGUGGCAAUGACAUCUUUGCCUGCUCCUGUAGUCUAGGAAACUGGCACCUGCUUCAUGAGGACAGUCUUGCAGGGGGUGGCAUCGGCCAAGGGCUGCCAUGGAGUGGGGUGUGCCCAGCAUCCACAGCCCAUUACUGUGAGGGGAGAACAGAUGUCAUGACAUCAUGGCCCAGUUCGUCUCUAUUCAGGCAUUUUCGUGCGUCCUCCUGAUGAGAAUGGUGAAAUCAGAGAAAGGCAGGAAUCCAGGGAACCUAGACUAUUAGUGACCCAUUUCUCAGAGGAGGAGACUGAGGUGGGGUGGAGGGAAACAUGGCCAAGCCGGGCCUGGGCUGAGUGGGGCCCAGCUGGUUCUCGCCUCCCACCCCUCGGAGCCAGAAGAUGCUGCUUCUGGCCCCAGCAGCUCUAAUGCCUGGUGUUCUUUUCUUCUGCACCCUGUGCCUCCUACCCUUCCUCUGCCAUGUUAUAGCCACAGCGUGGGGACUCCGAGGAGGACAGCCCUGCCACCUGCUUCCCCCCAGGGCCUCUGGGCUCCUCCAGGGAAGGUGUCUCCCCCCCUCAGGAAGGGGCUGGUCAGCUGGGGUGAAGGUCUGUGAGUGUCGGCGUGGGAAGGAGCUGAAGACGUGGUCCGACAGGCGUUCCUACUCCUGGACCUUCCUCGAAAUUACCUGGAAAACCUAUGGGAACCCCCACACCCAAGUCCAGCUGCCAGAUGGGGUCUGGGCUUUUCUUCUGUCUGCCCCCGCCCCCUGGAACUCCGAUUGGCUGGUUCUCAGCUGCAGGCCUGCAUUAGAAUCCAGAGGCGCUAGAUGUGGGAGCUUCACAAAUCGCACCCAAGCCUCGCGAAUCCUGGGGGCAGGUGGGGCUGGGGCCUUUUUGCUUUUACCUCCUCCCCUCAACUUUUGAUCGGAACUUGUUCAGCCUUAGAGAACACAGAUUGACCCUCUCCUUCUAGUCACCUAUUGCUGUGUUUUUGCCAUAUGUAUCUGUGCACAUGCAUUUCUUUUUCUCUUCUUUUCCGCUGACCCAUUUGAAGGUUGCUGUAUAAGAUGCUGUUAUCUCUCGGUGUUUCAGUUUGAAAUGUCUGGAAACAAGGUCAUUGUCCUACGGAGCUACAGUCCCGUUUUCACACCUAGAACGUUUCCUCUAACAUCCCGUUGGGUUCGAAUCCCCAGUUCGUCCCCUUCCCUCCCUUCCAUCCGCUUUUCCAGUCUUGCAUCCGACCAAGGUUCAUGUGUUACAUUUGGCUCUCUCUCUGUUGUCUCUUUUAACCUAAAAGAGAUUAUUUUUAAAAGGCAGCGUUGGUCCAUCUUGAACUGUCUAUCUAGCCCAGUGCUCUUACAGAAUGUCCUACAUUCGGGAUCUGACCGCUGCUUCACGGUGUCACAUCCUUAUUUCUCUCUGCGCUCCGAAGUGGUGGGCCAGGGCUUGAAAAGGUACAGGUUAAAAGGUUAAACGCCAGGUGCGACUGUUUCCGGGGGGCUCGUGUGGCACAUCCCACAUCAGCCUUGUCAGGACAGCGGGCCGUCCGUUAUUCAUCAUCCGCUUAAGUGAGCGACUGUUCUUCUCCCUAAAGCCCUUCCACGCAGUGAUUUUAGCGCCAUCGACGAUCCCUGCCCGGAUCGGUUACGGUAUCAGGGGUGGCGAAAUGAUCGUUUUCCCCAUUUCCCGGUUCU
rnacentral:lncRNA from 1 species